CCAGAAUAUUGCUCUCCCUCUUUCCACAAAGACACCCCUUAAUAGCAUACACCGGAGGAGCCACAAAUGCCUGCUUCAGAAUAGACAAAUAGCAGCCUCCCUCUUCUCUGUGUUGCAGAGGCUGGUGCUCUCACUAAUAAACAGCUAAGCACUUCCCAGGUCCAACUGGUCCUGUCCUUGAGAAAGAAGAAAAGAAAUAUCCUUGAGAAAGUAAUCAGGGGUCACAGGUAGGAAUGACUAGCUGUAAAACAUACUAAUUCCUACUUGUUGGGAGCUAUUAAGACAACUCUAUUGUCUUGAUCUCAGAAUUGGGCCUGCCCCACCCCCAAGUAGAAAAGGGGGUCAAAAGUGGGCCACUGACGCACCAUUCUGAGAACAACCACAGAACGUUCCAGCCCUAAGUCAGUGCCAGAUGUCCUGACCACAAGAUGUACCCUGAUACCACCAAGUUCCUGCUUCCCCCUGUAGUUGCCAAAAGAAAAAUUUCUGCUGCCCCAUCCCUCCUGCUGAGAAGUAUUUCCUCUUUGUCUUGUGCAUUUAAGCCUUGAGUCUUGCUGAAUACAGAGACACCUUGAUGCUACUCAGACUGCUUCUGUGUCGUUCUUGCACUUGGUGUCCGUCUCUCUCUCCCCCCAUUUGGUUCUUAGGAGAAGGCCACCUCGAGACCCUUGAAUAACUGGACCUGCUGGACGGGUCAUCUACUAGCAUCAUAAAGUUACUCCUCAGGCUCAGCAGUUCUGAGAGCUCUCCUGGAAGUUCUACAGAAUCAUGGACACAAAAUUUGGGGACUCAUCUGGGAUUCCCAAGCGGAUCUCUGGAAUCUGCAGUCUUGGGAGUCUAAAACUGUUGGGAUUCAGGCCCCAGAUCUAUGGAUGAAGUACACUCACCAUGUUUUCUACCAAUGAGUUGCACCGCAGCUAGUACUGCUACCUUUUCCUUCUCCUGACUCUGCUACCAAGCAGCCCACACAUCCACUCCAUGCCCAAGACUUGCAGGGAUGCUGAUCUUCUGGAAGAAUGCUGUUCUUCUUAGUUUUUCUUCGAAGGGAAAUAUGUUCUUCUAAGUUUAAGUCUCUGAAAAUGUUCUUGAAUAAUCUGCCGAAGAGCAUUGCUGAAGAUUCACAUAAAAGGGUAUGCAGUUUUUGUGAAUAAUCUGGUCCUAAUAUUAUGACACAUCUGUAUUUGUAUGUGAUAUGCUCUGGAAA
rnacentral:lncRNA from 1 species